rnacentral:tRNA from 2 species
GCCCCGGUAGCUCAGCCCGGUCGGAGCGCCCGCCUUGUAAGCGGGAGGUCCCGGGUUCGAAUCCCGGCCGGGGCUCCA